rnacentral:rRNA from 1 species
GAUGAACGCUGGCGGCGUGCCUAAUACAUGCAAGUCGAGCGAACGGACGAGAAGCUUGCUUCUCUGAUGUUAGCGGCGGACGGGUGAGUAACACGUGGAUAACCUACCUAUAAGACUGGGAUAACCUCGGGAAACCGGAGCUAAUACCGGAUGAUAUUUUGAACCGCAUGGUUCAAAAGUGAAAGACGGUCUUGCUGUCACUUAUAGAUGGAUCCGCGCUGCAUUAGCUAGUUGGUAAGGUAACGGCUUACCAAGGCAACGAUGCAUAGCCGACCUGAGAGGGGGAUCGGCCACACUGGAACUGAGACACGGUCCAGACGCCUACGGGAGGCAGCAGUAGGGAAUCUUCCGCAAUGGGCGAAAGCCUGACGGAGCAACGCCGCGUGAGUGAUGAAGGUCUUCGGAUCGUAAAACUCUGUUAUUAGGGAAGAACAUAUGUGUAAGUAACUGUGCACAGCUUGACGGUACCUAAUCAGAAAGCCACGGCUAACUACGUG